rnacentral:rRNA from 1 species
UACGGAGGGUGCAAGCGUUAUCCGGAUUCACUGGGUUUAAAGGGUGCGUAGGCGGGUAGGUAAGUCAGUGGUGAAAUCUUCGAGCUUAACUCGGAAACUGCCUUUGAUACUAUCUAUCUUGAAUAUUGUGGAGGUAAGCGGAAUAUGUCAUGUAGCGGUGAAAUUCGUAGAUAUCGAGAGGAAUACCUGUGGCGAAGGCGGCCAACUGGACGAGUACUGACACUGAGACACGAAAGCGUGGGGAGCAAACAGG